CACCCCCGUGGCCGGGAAGGGGGUCACAUGGACUGGUCUCAUCCAGAGCACUUUAAAGAAACUGAUAGAGCUUAUCUCGUUUAACUUGGCCUUUGGAAGAUGCUUGUGGAAAUUUCUGCAAAGGAGGUGACAUCAGUUGUUGUCACAGCUGCUGUCUUUACAUUCUCAUUAAAUCAAAAAUGAUACCAGAACUGCAGAGGUAACAACUCCUCUGAAAGAUGGAGUCAACUGGAAAAAGGCAGAAAGGGCAGCAGUCAAUAAGAGAAAUCUGGGUCGUCUUCACUUCAGGCAUUCAGUAAGGAAGAGGAGACAGCACAGUUACUCCUGUGUGUCUUCACAAGAGGAGUGUGUAUCACAGUCCUGCUCUGACAGCAUAGGCUCAGUGAAAUGAAGAAGACAAGCAAGUUUUCUACUGUUGUACACCAUAGAAAGUGUUCUCCAGUGAAAACCACAAUUUCACUUUGAUUUAAUGAGCAUGCCCUGAUGACAUUGUGGAUGCACAGGUUCCUUUUGAGUCCUAAUGAAGAAGUUUGGAGCUGGAGACCACAACAUGUCUGAAUUAAUUUUGAUGUUCAUUUUGCACAUUUCCAAGGAGUUCUCAUGAAUUUUCAGCCAUGACUCCGUAUGGGAAUAAUUUCAUUGUAAGAAGAAGGCUUCCAUUCUAUCAUGAAAAAAGGCUGCAUGGAAAUCACGGAAAGCUACAGAAGAAACUAUCAGUCAUUGUUUGAAAGCAUUGUGGCCUAUGGAGAUGGAAACCAGAACGUGGAUUUGCCUUCAAAUUUUAUAAGCUUUAGAAACCCAAAUGAUGAGAAACAAAUGCGAAAAGUUCACAAAAGCAGUGGUUGCUUAAAAAAAAAUAAUUCUUAAAGCCGUGUUGCUUUUAUGAUGAACAGACCUAGCAAGAAGGAUAUUAAUUAUCUUGAAUACCAUUGUUUAAGCAGGUAGAGCUAUUCCCAGUAUUUUUUGGCUGCCACCUAGAUUAGUGUUACAAUCCUCAGUUGCUAACAAUGAAGUUAUCAGCCACUGGAACAAAUUAUUAAGAGGAACAGUGAGCUUACCAUUUCUUGAAGUCUGCAAACUGAGAGUGGAUGGUAUGCUUUAGCAAACAAUGGAGACACAGCUGUGUGAAAUUAUAUGGUUGUACUAAAGAGAAGGGAACAUGAGAUAUUGUAUGUGGUCCUUUCUAGCCUUAAGAGCUACAGGUCUAUAAUUUCACAAAUAUCGUUACAAAGAACUCCUCAGAAGUAGUGAUGACCAUAGCACCAGUCUGAAUCCAUCUCCUGAUUUGGGGUAGAUUAUUCCAAAGUAUUUUAAAAAAUUACAGACUGUAGUACAGUUUCUACAUGUUUCUGUCAUUACAAGUCAUACUACUAGCAUAAUUUUACAAUAUUGGAAAUCCCUUUUUGAGGACUAGAGAGAUCCUUCCUCUCCCCUAAAGAGCUCAAUGUACUUCAGUGCAUGAAAGAGUCUAUAAAGUAAGCAUGCAUGCUGUUGCUUUCCUACCUGAUGCAUUUCAGUCAUUGAAAUCUGAAAUAAAUAUGCUAGAUUCACUCAGUGAAAUAAAAGACAAUCCAUGAAGGAAAUUCUAAGAUACUUCUCAUUAUUGUAGACCAUUUCUAAGCUAAACUUUAGUUUUCCUCUCCUUGUAGGGUGAUCUGGCACACUGCUUAAAAGAAGAUUCUUUUUCUUUUUUUUUCCUAUAGCAGUCCUCCAGCUGAGAACAGCUAAACCAUUUUUCCCCCCAUAUUUCCAGUGUUUUGGAGCAUGGAGCACUGCAGAAACUUAAAUCUAGUGGGACAGUUGGAAGUUUGGGGAAGCUGUACCUGACUGAACAGCUGGACAUGAAAGGAAAUAGCUCUUCAAUGUUGAGAUGUAUUUUUCUUGCUAUAAAGAAAGAAGGAAUUAAGUGACUACAUGUUUGGCAGAAAGGCCUUGCCAUUUCAUGAUGGCUCUCAAACAUCAUCUUUAUAACUCCAUUGAACUGUUUCUCUGAUAAAAAAACCUGUAGCCUACACUACAAAGGGCUUUGAGUAUGUGUAUAGCAUAUACUGUUAUCAGCAAUCACCGCCAUGGUCACAAAAGGUAUUCCCUCAGUAUGAUUGAACCGUCUCAUUAAUCAUAAGACAAAAUUACUCCAGUGCCAGUAUGUUUUCCAUCCACAGACGUGGGUUUGGUAGCAUAGCUAGGACAGCAUAGUUGAUGUCCUAACUAACACUAGAAGAUCUGAAAAAACAUCAUGGUAUAGCUUUUCAACUAUUUCAGGGAAACUGAUGUUAUUGUGUCCAGAAUGGAUAUGCAUAAUACCAGAGGCAGAUUUUUAGUUUUUAGAUUGUACUCAAUGGGCGGUUACUCUUGUUUCUGUGAGUGUCUAAAACUCUCUUUGUGGCUCACUUAUAUAUAUGUACAAUGUGCCUAAAUAAAUAUCUCAACUGUCCCUCAGCUGGAGGGCUCUUUGCAAGACAUGCUUUAGCCAAACACAGUGUGUCACUCAGAUACAAUGAAGGGAGCACAAUACAAGAGAGCCCAGAUUGCUUUAUCAAGCACUCUCUUCUGGUCUUAAGUUUCAUAAAUUUAUAACUUGUGCUGAUUCAAAUACGUUCAACUUUCUCUUGCUACCAUGUUUUGUGCUCUUGAGAAAAGAUGACUGGAAAAGCUGGAUGCUGAAAAAGAUGAGUGGCCUUUGACUGCUCUUAAGCUUUUCAAAUAUAUUAUCCUUUAAAAAAACCCACCAACCCAGUUUGUCAUAACAGUUUCAGCAUCAACAGUGACUAAUCUGUUUGCCAUGCAAAGGCCAUAGUGAAAUAUAGGUGUUUAUGUUUAAUACUUUGAUUUCAUAAAUCUACAAGAACAAUUCUGGGUUGAUUUGGUUGAAGGAACUGCUCAGUUUUAGUCCCCUAAAGACUAUCUGUGUAGCUCUCUUCUAAAAAGUAUAAUAAUAAAAAAAGCGGGGGGGGGGAGGGGAAUAAGAAGUCACUAAACAUUUGAAAGGUUGGAGGUCUAGACUAUGUUUCCAUUCAUCAGGGUUGUUCUCAAGCUGAUGUUCCCUUUGCUGUGUGGAUAUACAGAAAACAGUUUUCUUGUCCCACAAGGAUUCUGUUGAUUUUUAAAUUUUAAGCCUGGCAUGAGGCUCAGUGAAUGUAUGAGUGACUUAAGAAACAAAUAAACAUGUUUCAUUUUAA